rnacentral:misc_RNA from 1 species
ACUGUCAGGUUUUGAAUUGCGUUUUACAGAGUAAUUGUCGUGCGCUGUUCUCGUGGUGUUGAUCUGGUGCUGGCGCUAUUUUGUUCAUUCUUGUCUUUUUUUUCUUUGCUUGUGAAAUUCAAGGAUGUUAAACGUUGCAACUAACUUAUUGUUUUUGCUUUUUUUUGGUUUGUAUAGUUUCGGACGUGUUUACUGGCAUUUCCAGUGAACGCUGAGGAUGCCCCAACGCCUCUAUUUACAAAUUUAAUUGCGAUUCGUCGGGCUGGUCGCCUGUAAGUGUCCGACCAGGGGGACGACGUCAUUUAUUUUUCUGGUCGUCCUAAUCAUUGAUUAGGCGUCCAAAUUGUCUGAUUAGUCGUUCGAUUAGCCAUCUCUGGUCGACCAGUGUGCAGCGGGCUAGAUGUGCUAUUGGGCUUCACCGUUUUUUGGUCAAGUAGCUGCAUAAAUCUGUAUAAAUCUGUUUGCGCCCCUAAACUCUAAAGCCUCCCCUGUGCCUGCGCCCCUCUCGUCUCUCCUAAACUUUCUGUCCUCUGUGGCUCUGUCGGCGUCGGCUGCUCCAGCCUCCAGGGCUCUCCAUCGUCCACCAGCGUCGGCAUGCAGCUCAUGCUUGAAGGUCAUCCCUGCCCCCUGCUCAUCUACAAGGCACAAGAUGAGAUGACACACAAGAUGAGCUCGUCAUCCGAAGAGUUUCAUGCUGCUGGUGGACGAAGAGGUGCUGAUGUUGAGGUCUUAUUCCCCGGGUCCAAUGUGGUUGGCAAUGGCAAUGCAACUGCAAGUGAUUCUGUUCCUCCGGUGACCUCAAAUGUUGAUAGCACAGACCCUGCUUCGGCAUUAUCAGCUGCCGCAGACUCAAAAAGUUUUGCUGAAAAGGCUAUUGCAGCACUCCCUCCUGAGCUUAGUGCACAAGCAACUGACCCAAAAAGAAAGGCAAGGUAACAGGACCCAGGAUGGAAGUUUGGGUGGUGGCGAGACACAACAAAAAAGAUUUUGCUCAGUGUAUUUUCUGUUCGAAGAUUGUUCCUUCCGGAAUCAAAAGGUUCAAGCAGCAUAUUGCCAGUGGGUUUGGUGACACCAUGAAGUGUGCUAGAGUACCAGAAUUGGUUUCAAAGGAAAUGCACAUGUAUCUGAAAAGGAACAUGAGACUUGUGAUUACUGAUAAUAUUGAAGGUGAAGAGGGAGAAGAGCGGAAUGAUGAAGGUCCUGAACCAAGUUCUGGGACAAAAAACAAGCAAGCAAAGAAGAAAAUUGCCCAAACUGCCAUGUCCUCAUUUCUUGUAUCCGUUCCUCCAAAACUAAGUACCCAGAAGGCAAGCAAAUCAAUGAGUGCCAUGCUUUGCAAGACUCCAGAAGUAGUUGCAGAGAGGCAUAAAAACAAAACUUCUCAGGCCACCCUUAAGCACUGCGCAAAGAAAGGGACACAAGCGCAACAAAUUGUUGACGACCAUGUAGUUGAUUUUCUAUAUGAGAACAAGAUUCCAUUGAAUGUCGUAAACUCAAGAAGUUGGCAGCUUAUGUUGGAAUCUAUUGGUCAGUACGAUCCUGGAUAUCGUGGCCUAUCGUAUCAUGAGGCUAGGGUACCUUGGCUUGAAAGGGCAGUGAAGAGAACAUCGACAUUGAGAGCUAAGCACGAAGAGGCUUGGAAGGAAUAUGGUUGCUCAAUUAUGUUAGAUGGGUGUGAAAGGGAAAUGUGCCCUUGGACAAUUUCUAUAAUGUUUUGGUGAUUAAGUGUCCAACACAUUUAAUUGAGUUCUAAUGUGCAAAAUAAAGUGAGAAGUGCAAAUCAAGGAAAAAGGUAUGUUUCUAGACUUGGUGAAUUGUUUUGUGUACUAACAUGGUUAUCCAAGUGCUAGAAACAGUGACUAAAGAAGAAGAAAGGAAAAGGGAAAAGCUUGGCUCUAUGCAGCCAAUCUUCAGCUCGGCUUGGCACACCGGACUGUCCGGUGGUGCAUCGGACAAUGUCUGGUGCGCCAGACUGGUCCGCGUGAAAAGGCCGCUCUCGGGACUCGACGACGGCGUACGACUAUAAUUCACCGGACUGUCCGAUGAGUCAUUCGCGGUGAACUCGUCGGCCUCGAGAAAAGCAAAGGGGUGACGUGGCUAUAAUUCAUCGGACUGUCCGGUGGUGCACCGGACUGUCCGGUGAGCCAAUGGUCUCAUGCGCCAACGGUCGGCCGCGCAAUCUUUGCGCGACACGUGGACUGCUCCAACGGUCGGCUGGUGCACCGGACUGUCCGGUGUGCACCGGACUGUCCGGUGUGCACCGGACAGUGUCCGGUGCGCCAAUCAGCCCAGAGGAGCAAUGGUCGGAUAUGCCAAAUUUGGAAUGAGAUCAAGCACCGG